GAAAUGUUGUAAUCAAUUACAUGGAAUAUGAGAAUUAGGGUGUUUUUUUAAUAUGUCGGGGGUGUUUUUUUAGAGAUACCAAUUUUUUUUAGUUUUGGGUCAAAAAAGGCUAAACACACACACACCCAAACUUUACAGCAGGAAUAGGGUUUUCGUGAGAGGGAGAAACCCUUGAGACCCUUCUGUUGAGGAAGUGAUGUGGAGCUUGCAAUUUGCUGGUCAAGUUUAGGACGCACGGCGUGGAGAUUUCUGGAGCAGUUCUCCUGGCGGUUCUCCUUCCCAACCUGCAAACCUCCCUGUUGCCUUCCAUUAGCGAAAACUUUCAGCUAACGUCGUACCGGAAUUCUCGACUAAAAAGGGGAAAGAUAAAGUCGACGAGGAAUAGCUCGAAAUUUCUGGUUAGGCAUUUAACUUUUGAUCGCCGAUUCAGCAUCCAACAACGAUCCCGAACUCAAAUGUGGUGAAGUUUAUCCUUUGUGUCGUCAUGUACCUAGGGUGUCUAAAUAAUAGUUAUUUUGUGGUUUGAUUGUAAAUGAGGUUAUAAGUUUAAUUUUGGUUGGUUUUAUACAUAUAAAUAUGUGUUUGUUUUUGAAGCCAUAUUAUGACAUGAUAAAUUGAACUAAAUCUAGAUAGGUGCAUGUAAAUUUAAUUCUAUGUUUAAGUGCUCAAGAACUAGGAAAAUUGAUUUGGUUUUGGUAUGUUUAUAAAUUGGAUUAAAAUGAUGCUUUGAUGACUUGUUUUGAUGAUAUGAAUUGUUUGACAUUUCUGUCUGUUUGAUCUGUAAACUCUGGUAAUACUCCGUAACCCAGUUCCGGCGAGGGAUACGGGUUAGGGUGUUACAAUUUGUGCCUUUGUUUGCACUUCGGUGCCUUUGUUACGCAUCUAUGAUGCCUUUGGUGUGGUGUAGUUACUCGAGUAUCCGAGUCAAGUUACUAUAGUUCAUCAGACUAUGUAUUAAUUAAUUUACAACUUAUCUACUUGAUUAAUUCUAUUGUACAUCUAUGGUGUUGUUAAAUGAAAAAUGUUACAAUGAAUUUCUUGUUUAUAUAUGUGGAUGGUUACAUUGAGGGAAUUUGGAUGAUGGUAUUGGGUAAGUCUUUUAAGAAGGUGUUAUUAUGUUAUAUAUAUAUGAAUAAAUACUAAUAUGGUGUGAACUUGUAUUUGAUUAUUAAGAGUUAAAUUAUAUACUUGUGUAUUUAUCUUGGUUAAGGUAAGUUAAAUCAUGUUUAGACUAUGGACUUAUUAGGCUUCUUAAGUUUAUUUGUUUCAUUUGUGUUUCAUUUAUGUUUCUUUUGUAGUUAGCAUUUUAUGGAUUGACCAGUGGAUUGAUUUGGAGCUCAUACUAUCCAGCCUUGUUGGUAGUUUUUGUUUAUCACUUUGGAAUGUGGCAUGUAUAUAGGUUUUAAGUUGUUGAUAUGUAAAGUGGUAGGUUAACUUGUUAUAACUAGUUAAUGUGGUUGAAUUUGGGUGUGUACUUGUGUUGAUUUUGGUCAAGUUGCUCUUUAGUGCCUUAUAUAUAUGUUAAGUGGUGAUGUCUUGGAAAUGGUAGUUUUGUUGUGAAUGACCACAUCUUUGGUAAAUUUUUGAUUGAUGGUUUUAGGCAUGAAUGGUUAACUAAUGAUAAAGCUUAUUUCUUAAUUGUAACUUUGUUCUUGAAUUGAAUUGGUAUGUGAAUUGAGGUGCCUUUUGAUGGCAUAUUGGUUAGACAUACGAUAGAUAAAUAUUUGGCAUGUAUUUGGUGUUUUGAAUAUGCUUUUAACCUUGUGAAAUACGCUAGUUAUGAUAUGUCUUAUUGUGCAAGAAAUGGUGUUUGAAUUAGCUUGAUUUAGGGGUUAAAAAUGGAGCACACGGCCUAAGACACGGGUUGCCACACAGCAGUGUGCCACAAACGAGCACCCCCACACGAUCGUGUGUCAUUAUUAUUUUAGGUACAGGAUUCACAUGGUCUGAGACACGGCCUGCGACAAAACCGUGUCCCAAGUCAAUAUGUAGCAUGGUUUGGCAUACGACUUAUGACACAGCCGUGUGACCCAACAUCGAAUGCACAUAUGGUUUGGCACACGGCCUGCGACAUGGCCGUGUGGCCCUAUUUCGAAUAUACACAUGGGCUGGAGCAUUGCCAUGUAUCCGGACUUCGAAUGUUCACAAGGUCUGGGCUGUGUCACAUGACCGUAUGACCCAUGUUUCCUAAAUUUUCAUGUUUUUCUAGAAUUUUCUAAUUUGUUUUGCUUUGAUCCCUGAUUGUUCCCAAACCGUUUAUAAGUCCCCGUAGACUUGAUUUAAGGCCCAUAAAUGUAUUUUUGCCAUGAUUAGAUUCAAUUUUUAUAUGUUAGCAUUUAGUUUGUAUAAUUGUUUCUGUUGUAAAGUUAAAUGUUCUGUUUUUUACGGUAAUACUCUAUAACCCUAAUCUGGUAAUAGAGACGGGAUAGGUCUGUUACAAUUAAAAGUUACUUAUUGGUACAAUGGGAGAAGCCACCUCACAAUUAAUUUAUGGUGAAUGUUGGGAGUUGGGAUUAGUCGAGCAAGAGGGAAAGUGCUGAAGGUUCUAUUCAUGAAUACUAUGGUAAUUGGGUCGUCGAUUUUUCAAUCUUUUGUGGAAAUUUCAGUAUCAAUGUGGUAGAGUUUAUGGGAAUUUUCCAUGGGGUUGAAGUUGCGUAGAAAAAAAGAAUUUGGAACAUUAUAAUUGAAUCAGAUUGUCUAUGACUGUUGAGAUGAUCUUGAAUGAUAUUAAUCGUCUUCAAAUCCUUAUUUUUGAUUCAUUGGAGUUGUACGAGGUGCAUGCUGAAAGGACAAGUGUUGGAAACUGGUUCACACUCCUAGGGAGAAGAACUUCAUGCCAGAUUGGCUGAUCGAGUGAAGCCUAUAAAUAGGAUAUUUGUGCCGCACAUUUGGAGUGAGCUAUUGAGUGUCUUUAUUCGAUUGUUGUGAGAUUGCAAUUAUCUAUUGUUGUGAGGGUAGAUUGAGCUUAAGCCAAAAGUUGUAUCGGAUGAAUUAUUGAAUAAAAUCAUUCUCUGAACCAAGCUGGGCCGAGAAAUGUUGUUGUAUCUGAAUU